UGUGAGCUCGAUGAGUAGGGCGGGACACGUGGUAUCCUGUCUGAAUAUGGGGGGACCAUCCUCCAAGGCUAAAUACUCCUGACUGACCGAUAGUGAACCAGUACCGUGAGGGAAAGGCGAAAAGAACCCCGGCGAGGGGAGUGAAAAAGAACCUGAAACCGUGUACGUACAAGCAGUGGGAGCACGCUUAGGCGUGUGACUGCGUACCUUUUGUAUAAUGGGUCAGCGACUUAUAUUCUGUAGCAAGGUUAACCGAAUAGGGGAGCCGAAGGGAAACCGAGUCUUAACUGGGCGUUAAGUUGCAGGGUAUAGACCCGAAACCCGGUGAUCUAGCCAUGGGCAGGUUGAAGGUUGGGUAACACUAACUGGAGGACCGAACCGACUAAUGUUGAAAAAUUAGCGGAUGACUUGUGGCUGGGGGUGAAAGGCCAAUCAAACCGGGAGAUAGCUGGUUCUCCCCGAAAGCUAUUUAGGUAGCGCCUCGUGAAUUCAUCUCCGGGGGUAGAGCACUGUUUCGGCAAGGGGGUCAUCCCGACUUACCAACCCGAUGCAAACUGCGAAUACCGGAGAAUGUUAUCACGGGAGACACACGGCGGGUGCUAACGUCCGUCGUGAAGAGGGAAACAACCCAGACCGCCAGCUAAGGUCCCAAAGUCAUGGUUAAGUGGGAAACGAUGUGGGAAGGCCCAGACAGCCAGGAUGUUGGCUUAGAAGCAGCCAUCAUUUAAAGAAAGCGUAAUAGCUCACUGGUCGAGUCGGCCUGCGCGGAAGAUGUAACGGGGCUAAACCAUGCACCGAAGCUGCGGCAGCGACGCUUAUGCGUUGUUGGGUAGGGGAGCGUUCUGUAAGCCUGUGAAGGUGUGCUGUGAGGCAUGCUGGAGGUAUCAGAAGUGCGAAUGCUGACAUAAGUAACGAUAAAGCGGGUGAAAAGCCCGCUCGCCGGAAGACCAAGGGUUCCUGUCCAACGUUAAUCGGGGCAGGGUGAGUCGACCCCUAAGGCGAGGCCGAAAGGCGUAGUCGAUGGGAAACAGGUUAAUAUUCCUGUACUUGGUGUUACUGCGAAGGGGGGACGGAGAAGGCUAUGUUGGCCGGGCGACGGUUGUCCCGGUUUAAGCGUGUAGGCUGGUUUUCCAGGCAAAUCCGGAAAAUCAAGGCUGAGGCGUGAUGACGAGGCACUACGGUGCUGAAGCAACAAAUGCCCUGCUUCCAGGAAAAGCCUCUAAGCAUCAGGUAACAUCAAAUCGUACCCCAAACCGACACAGGUGGUCAGGUAGAGAAUACCAAGGCGCUUGAGAGAACUCGGGUGAAGGAACUAGGCAAAAUGGUGCCGUAACUUCGGGAGAAGGCACGCUGAUAUGUAGGUGAAGCGACUUGCUCGUGGAGCUGAAAUCAGUCGAAGAUACCAGCUGGCUGCAACUGUUUAUUAAAAACACAGCACUGUGCAAACACGAAAGUGGACGUAUACGGUGUGACGCCUGCCCGGUGCCGGAAGGUUAAUUGAUGGGGUCAGCGCAAGCGAAGCUCUUGAUCGAAGCCCCGGUAAACGGCGGCCGUAACUAUAACGGUCCUAAGGUAGCGAAAUUCCUUGUCGGGUAAGUUCCGACCUGCACGAAUGGCGUAAUGAUGGCCAGGCUGUCUCCACCCGAGACUCAGUGAAAUUGAACUCGCUGUGAAGAUGCAGUGUACCCGCGGCAAGACGGAAAGACCCCGUGAACCUUUACUAUAGCUUGACACUGAACAUUGAGCCUUGAUGUGUAGGAUAGGUGGGAGGCUUAGAAGUGUGGACGCCAGUCUGCAUGGAGCCGACCUUGAAAUACCACCCUUUAAUGUUUGAUGUUCUAACGUUGACCCGUAAUCCGGGUUGCGGACAGUGUCUGGUGGGUAGUUUGACUGGGGCGGUCUCCUCCUAAAGAGUAACGGAGGAGCACGAAGGUUGGCUAAUCCUGGUCGGACAUCAGGAGGUUAGUGCAAUGGCAUAAGCCAGCUUGACUGCGAGCGUGACGGCGCGAGCAGGUGCGAAAGCAGGUCAUAGUGAUCCGGUGGUUCUGAAUGGAAGGGCCAUCGCUCAACGGAUAAAAGGUACUCCGGGGAUAACAGGCUGAUACCGCCCAAGAGUUCAUAUCGACGGCGGUGUUUGGCACCUCGAUGUCGGCUCAUCACAUCCUGGGGCUGAAGUAGGUCCCAAGGGUAUGGCUGUUCGCCAUUUAAAGUGGUACGCGAGCUGGGUUUAGAACGUCGUGAGACAGUUCGGUCCCUAUCUGCCGUGGGCGCUGGAGAACUGAGGGGGGCUGCUCCUAGUACGAGAGGACCGGAGUGGACGCAUCACUGGUGUUCGGGUUGUCAUGCCAAUGGCACUGCCCGGUAGCUAAAUGCGGAAGAGAUAAGUGCUGAAAGCAUCUAAGCACGAAACUUGCCCCGAGAUGAGUUCUCCCUGACCCUUUAAGGGUCCUGAAGGAACGUUGAAGACGACGACGUUGAUAGGCCGGGUGUGUAAGCGCAGCGAUGCGUUGAGCUAACCGGUACUAAUGAACCGUGAGGCUUAACCUU
rnacentral:rRNA from 1 species